UACGUAGGGGGCAAGCGUUGUCCGGAUUUAUUGGGCGUAAAGAGCUCGUAGGCGGUUGGGCAAGUCACGUGUGAAAUCUCCACGCUCAACGUGGAGGCGCCACGUGAGACUGCCCUGACUCGAGUCCGGUAGGGGAGCGUGGAAUUCCCGGUGUAGCGGUGAAAUGCGCAGAGAUCGGGAGGAACACCCGUAGCGAAGGCGGUUCUCUGGGACGGUACUGACGCUGAGACGCGAAAGCGUGGGGAGCGAACAGG
rnacentral:rRNA from 1 species